GGCCAUGUGAAAAAUAUUGCAACUUUAUUAAUUUCAUUCAUCUACAAUGUCAGUAUGUAACAGUUUUCACGUUACAGAAAAUAUGAGCUAUAAACUGAAUAUCUCAACACUUGAAAAUAAAACAUUAUUCAAAUACAGCUUUAGUUUGAUGCAAGAAUCGACCUACAAAACAUUAUGGAGCGGGAUGUAGAUUAUUUUGGUAGAUAAAAGGGUCUGCAGUUUACCAUGAGGUAAUCUACACUGAGUAUACAAAACAUUAAGGACACCUGCUCUUUCCAUGACACAGACUGACCAGGUGAAAGCUAUGAUCCCUUAUUGAUGUCACUUGUUCAAUCCACUUCUAUCAAUGUAGAUGAAGGGGAGGAGACAGGUUAAAGAAGGAAUUUUAAGCUUUGAUACAUUUGAGACUUGGAUUGUGUAUGUGUGCCAUUCAGAGGGUGAAUUGGCAAGACCAAAUACUUAAGUGCCUUUGAACUUGAUAUGGUAGAAGGUGCCAGGCACACUGGUUUGUGUCAAGAACUGUUUUUAACGCUGAACAAUUUCCUGAGUGUGUCAAGAAUGCUCCACCACCCAAAGGACAUCCAGACAACUUGACAACUGUGGGAAGCAUUAGAGUCAACAUGGGUCAGCAUCCCUGCGGAACACUUUCGACACCUGGUCCAUGGCCCGACAAAUUGAGGCUGUUCUGAGGAAGAAAGGGAGGAGGUGCAACUCAAUAUUAGGUAGGUAUUCUUAAUGUUCUGCAUCUUCAGUGUAUUGUGUAGAUAUAAAGAGGAUUCAAAGGAGGAAAAGCUAAACAAUUGGAAAAACAAACCAAUGUACAAAAAAUUAUUUGGUAAUGCCCCACAUUCUUGAUAAAACGCUGUUCCAAUGACAUCAGAACGUCAGUAAGGUUUGUCUUUUAAAGCCUCCUCAUCCCCAGCAAGCCGAAUUAACAUAUUUAAUAAUAAUAUCCUAUGUACUGAAAACAUGUUCAUAACACUGCCAUUAAAACAUAGCUUUGAAAUAAUGUAACAUGCAACAUUUCCUCUGCAGUGUUUUAUUAUAGUUUCAACCUCUGUGUGUGAAAUAUUGCAACAUAAAGUAAUGACAAAAACCUACCAGUCUACAAGAGCAUAUUAUCAUGUUUUACAAAGGUUUUGCAUUGAUAUUUGCAGUAUCACAUUAUGUAAAGUGUGUAAAAUUGUUUUAAAGUUGAGAACUUCAUCAUACUUUCUAGGCCAACACUUUUCAGAAAAGGUACAUGAUUCUUGAUGUGAAGUAAUUAUGGAAUUGAAUAAUGGCUUGAUAAUCAAUAUUGAAGUGCAAUUGAAUCAACAGCAUUAGUUCCAAUGUGCAGCUGGUUCCAUUUGCUUUAAUGCAUAUGGAUGGUGUGUUGUAACCAUGACUAUGUCCAGCGGAGUGUUUGUCUGUCAGGGUUGGGGUCAAUUCGAACUGAAGUCGGUCAAUUCGAAUUGAAGUCGGUCAAUUCGGGAAGUUAACUCAAAUUCCAAUUCAAUAAUAAAUUGACCCCAACCCUGUUGUCUGUAGAACCUUACAGAUGAUAAGAAUAUAAUAUUAGGUCGUCAAAGGCAGUAUGAAAUAGUCUGAUAUUUAAUAAAAAAAAUAGAAAAGGAUAUUUUUCAGGCCAUAUAAGUAAACCACUAAAGAGAUUAAGCAGUUUAAUUUGUUUCAUGCAGUUCUGCUGUCAUGUUAUGCAACCUGUACAUCAUUUUAAUUCCUAUUUCACAACUUAAAGGGAUAGUUCCCCCUAACGACAUAUCGUAAUUAUGACACGAAUGCUAAAAAAUUAGCAUUUGGAGACAGUGGCCAGAUAAACAAAACCAAAGUAUGGAUUGCUGUCUUAACUUACAGGGUAAGAAAAUCAGUGUAAUUUUGUAAUUUGGGUGAACUAUCCCUUUAAUGCAUUCACUUUGAUAUUCAUUCCAAUACUCUUGAAGUUUACACAUGUGGCCAGUGCAUGUUCCUCUCACUAUGGUAAACAAAUGAAAGCCAUGUAUAUUGACAAGAUGCCAUGAGGUCAUAUCAUUUCCUUUUCACAGGGAGCAAACCUAUCAAAAGAGAAGAAGCUCAGGGCUCUAUUUUCGGCUGGAGCUACGGCGGCACAAGUGCCAAACGCACAAAGUCAGCAUGUAAAAACGGUCGCUUUGGCGUUUUCCACCCCAUGUGCCAGGUUCAGCAACGCAUCAGUGUAAUAUCAGCUCGCUUGCGCUGUGUCAAUAUUUUAGGCGUGCCCUUGAAAACAAGCUCAAAAGUGACAAUUUCAUGCAGCACAUAUCGGGAGAUUUAAGACCAAUGAAAAGCCGGUCUUUGCGGUAACGCGGUUGGUAAUGGCAAGGAUUUUGUGAGCGGAAGCGCAACCUGUGACCCUUAUACUCAUGGAAGAAGAGAGGAUAUGUUUUCUCUUUUGGUUUCAUUUGAUUAAAAACUGUGCAUAAUCCUCCCUUCCUCUCAAUGAAGGCAGUUGUUUUCUCCUGCCAAAUGCGUUCACCAAGUAGCCAAGCCUAACAAUAAAGGGUUUGGCUAGUGAGACCGCUUUGAAAUAAAUCUUAACCAACAAAGCUUAAUAAAAAAUGUAAGUUUGGGAGCAGAAAAAGAGUAAGUGGAC
rnacentral:lncRNA from 1 species